rnacentral:rRNA from 1 species
ACUUUCAGCAACGGAUCUCUUGGCUCUCGCAUCGAUGAAGAACGCAGCGAAAUGCGAUAAGUAAUGUGAAUUGCAGAAUUCAGUGAAUCAUCGAAUCUUUGAACGCACCUUGCGCUCCUUGGUAUUCCGAGGAGCAUGCCUGUUUGAGUCUCAU